rnacentral:rRNA from 1 species
GCCUAACACAUGCAAGUCGAGCGGUAGAGAGAAGCUUGCUUCUCUUGAGAGCGGCGGACGGGUGAGUAAUGCCUAGGAAUCUGCCUGGUAGUGGGGGAUAACGCUCGGAAACGGACGCUAAUACCGCAUACGUCCUACGGGAGAAAGCAGGGGACCUUCGGGCCUUGCGCUAUCAGAUGAGCCUAGGUCGGAUUAGCUAGUUGGUGAGGUAAUGGCUCACCAAGGCGACGAUCCGUAACUGGUCUGAGAGGAUGAUCAGUCACACUGGAACUGAGACACGGUCCAGACUCCUACGGGAGGCAGCAGUGGGGAAUAUUGGACAAUGGGCGAAAGCCUGAUCCAGCCAUGCCGCGUGUGUGAAGAAGGUCUUCGGAUUGUAAAGCACUUUAAGUUGGGAGGAAGGGUUGUAACCUAAUACGUUGCAAUCUUGACGUUACCGACAGAAUAAGCACCGGCUAACUCUGUGCCAGCAGCCGCGGUAAUACAGAGGGUGCAAGCGUUAAUCGGAAUUACUGGGCGUAAAGCGCGCGUAGGUGGUUUGUUAAGUUGGAUGUGAAAGCCCCGGGCUCAACCUGGGAACUGCAUUCAAAACUGACAAGCUAGAGUAUGGUAGAGGGUGGUGGAAUUUCCUGUGUAGCCGGUGAAAUGCGUAGAUAUAGGGAAGGAACACCAGUGGCGAAGGCGACCACCUGGACUGAUACUGACACUGAGGUGCGAAAGCGUGGGGAGCAAACAGGGAUUAGAUACCCUGG